AGAACGAACGCUGGCGGCAUGCCUAAUACAUGCAAGUCGAACGAACACUUCGGUGUUAGUGGCGCACGGGUGCGUAACGCGUGGGAAUCUGCCCUUGGGUUCGGAAUAACAGUUGGAAACGACUGCUAAUACCGGAUGAUAUCGAAAGAUCAAAGAUUUAUCGCCCAGGGAUGAGCCCGCGUAGGAUUAGCUAGUUGGUGAGGUAAAGGCUCACCAAGGCGACGAUCCUUAGCUGGUCUGGAGAGGAUGAU
rnacentral:rRNA from 1 species